UACGGGGGGGGCAAGCGUUGUUCGGAAUUACUGGGCGUAAAGGGCUCGUAGGCGGCCAACUAAGUCAGGCGUGAAAUCCCUCGGCUUAACCGGGGAACUGCGUCUGAUACUGGAUGGCUAGAGGUUGGGAGAGGGAUGCGGAAUUCCAGGUGUAGCGGUGAAAUGCGUAGAUAUCUGGAGGAACACCGGUGGCGAAGGCGGCAUCCUGGACCAAUUCUGACGCUGAGGAGCGAAAGCCAGGGGAGCAAACGGG
rnacentral:rRNA from 1 species